CCUACGGGAGGCAGCAGUGGGGAAUAUUGGACAAUGGGGGGAACCCUGAUCCAGCCAUGCCGCGUGUGUGAAGAAGGCCCUCGGGUUGUAAAGCACUUUCAGUGAGGAAGAACGCCUGGUGGUUAAUACCCAUCAGGAAAGACAUCACUCACAGAAGAAGCACCGGCUAACUCCGUGCCAGCAGCCGCGGUAAUACGGAGGGUGCGAGCGUUAAUCGGAAUUACUGGGCGUAAAGCGCGCGUAGGUGGCUUGAUAAGCCGGUUGUGAAAGCCCCGGGCUCAACCUGGGAACGGCAUCCGGAACUGUCAAGCUAGAGUGCAGGAGAGGAAGGUAGAAUUCCCGGUGUAGCGGUGAAAUGCGUAGAGAUCGGGAGGAAUACCAGUGGCGAAGGCGGCCUUCUGGACUGACACUGACACUGAGGUGCGAAAGCGUGGGUAGCAAACAGGAUUAGAUACCCUUGUAGUUC
rnacentral:rRNA from 1 species